UCCUUGAGCUAACAACUUCAGGGGCCUUAUU
rnacentral:piRNA from 1 species